CUUUGGAGUCUUUCUGUGAGCCUAGGGCAUGGUCUCUGGGUUCCGCAUAUUUAUUUAGCCUCAGCUACUGCUGCUCUGUUAAUGAACAUAGCAUGUAUAUUGCAGUCCAGCACUAUAGGCUUAAACAGCUUUGAGGGAACUGGUCUGCUGGUACCAAAUUUCAGCUCAUUUCUCUACUCACUUGGAAGAAGCUUUGUGCAUGUUUUUUCAGACUCUGGACAGCACAAAAUAAAAAUAAAUUGCCUGUACUCUGGGUUAUGAGAAAAUACUUGUUUAUCACAGUCAGUGCUAGAAGGAAAAAUUUCUGCUUAACCAUAGGUAAUGAAGAGCUAAUCCUCACCAUUCUGCAGGAGAAGCCAUGUGAAUUUGGGGAAAAAAACAUAGGAAAUAUAGAAGGAGGAAGUCAACUCUGUUCUAAGAUAUGCAGUUUUAAAUUUUCUUGUUGUCUCGGUGCAUUAGUUGGCUUGUCACAUCAUAUUUUCUCAGCUUCUUUGUAUUAUGUCACAUAAUAUGACAGAGACAACCCUUGUGACAAAUCACACAAGCCAGUGUGUCAGCAGGGAAAUAGAAAACUGACAGUUCUCUGAAUAGCCCCAUAAAAAUGCUCAAUAGAAGGCUGUAAAAACUUUCUAAAAAUAUACACCUAUAUUUUUUAUUGCUGUAAACUCUCUAAACAAAUUUCAGAAUACCAAUAUAAAGAAUUAAGACAAAAGCUGAAAAUAUCUUGCAUAAUAGGAGCUCCAGCUAAUAUGUAGAAAAGGCUUAGUUUGGGAUGGCAGAUGGGAUACAUCCACAGCUUUCUGCUCUGCCCCUACCAAAUGGAUGUCUGUGAGGUUCAUUCCCCACUCCUGAACUGUAAUUUCAGUUUUGAAGUGUAACACUGGAAAUUGCAGUUACUCAGUGGUAGCUCGUGAGUAGCUUCUGUCUGAAGAGAUCCGAGUAAUACCUGCCAGUUGUAUUAAUACAAGUAACUCCUACUUGUCCUCAUGCAGAAUUGGACUGAAUUGGUAGACCCUUUCCCCCAGUCCUAACCCACUUGCUGUCUUUGCAUUAAAUAGUAAGGAAGUGCCUAUGUUCUUUUUCCUGUUCGAGAUGAUGAUGUUUGUGUGCAUGUACUCAUUAUUUGUAUUCUUUCAUGCUUUGUAGUUUUGAUUUCUAAGACUCAUCUUUCUCCUUUUUAGAUUUCUAAUUAGCAAAUGUCUCUAAUUUGGAUGGGGAGUGGGAGGAAAGUGGUUUGACAGAAUAUUCUGCCUUGUGUCUUAGGUUGCACAACCUGCAGCUGUUAUUAAAAGAGAAAGCAAUUAGAAAUAGAGUUCUGCAUCUUGAAAAUGUAUCCUGUAUUAUUUUUAGGCCAUGAUAUGUUUUCACAAUCUGUUAAAUCUACCUCUGUCAUUCUUUCUGAAAUUACAUGGACAGUCACAGAUUUAGAAGUUUUGAGGGAAUUCCUGUUGUCCUGAAAUUAAGAAGAGAAUUGAUAGGCAACUGUAAUCAGUAACUGUUUACAUGUGUAAUGUGUUCUGUUUAAUGUUUCAGUGGCUCCUUUAAAGUAAUGUUAGGAAAAAAGUACUUUGGUAUGGUUGAUGCUAAAGUCACGUACAGAUACAGGACUCAGAAACUGGUAUACCAUUGAUUUCAUUUCUUUCUUGUAGCUUUAAAAUUUAGAGGAAGUUGGAAUAUUGAUUAGCAUUCAUUGUGUUUAAAAAAUGCAAUAAUAUUUCUCUGUGAUACAAUUACUUCUACUGGUUUAUGUUUUCAAUGUUUCUGGACAGUUAAAGCAGCAGCAUUACUUAGAGAACUUUAUGGUUAAUUUAGA